AGUGGGGAAUAUUGCACAAUGGACGAAAGUCUGAUGCAGCAACGCCGCGUGGAGGAUGACACAUUUCGGUGCGUAAACUCCUUUUAUAGGUCAAGAUAAUGACGGUAGCCUAUGAAUAAGCGCCGGCUAACUCCGUGCCAGCAGCCGCGGUAAUACGGAGGGCGCAAGCGUUACUCGGAAUCACUGGGCGUAAAGAGCGUGUAGGCGGACUAAUAAGUCAGAAGUGAAAUCCAAUAGCUUAACUAUUGAACUGCUUUUGAAACUGUUGGUCUAGAGUGUGGGAGAGGUAGAUGGAAUUUCUGGUGUAGGGGUAAAAUCCGUAGAUAUCAGAAGGAAUACCGAUUGCGAAGGCGAUCUACUGGAACAUAACUGACGCUGAGACGCGAAAGCGUGGGGAGCAAACAGGAUUAGAUACCCUGGUAGUCCACGCCCUAAACGAUGUACACUAGUUGUUGCCUUGCUAGACAAGGCAGUAAUGCACCUAACGGAUUAAGUGUACCGCCUGGGGAGUACGGUCGCAAGAUUAAAACUCAAAGGAAUAGACGGGGACCCGCACAAGCGGUGGAGCAUGUGGUUUA
rnacentral:rRNA from 1 species